rnacentral:tRNA from 1 species
AGAAAUAUGUCUGAAAAAGAGUUACUUUGAUAGAGUAAAUCA